rnacentral:tRNA from 1 species
GGAGUGAUUGUGGCUCAGUGGUAGAAUGUCUGUCUGUCAUGCAGAAGGUCCCAGGUUCAAUCCCCAGGAUCUCCA